rnacentral:rRNA from 1 species
UACGUAGAGUGCGAGCGUUAAUCGGAAUUACUGGGCGUAAAGCGUGCGCAGGCGGUGAUGUAAGACCGAUGUGAAAUCCCCGGGCUUAACCUGGGAACUGCAUUGGUGACUGCAUCGCUCGAGUAUGGCAGAGGGGGGUAGAAUUCCACGUGUAGCAGUGAAAUGCGUAGAGAUGUGGAGGAAUACCGAUGGCGAAGGCAGCCCCCUGGGUCAAUACUGACGCUCAUGCACGAAAGCGUGGGGAGCAAACAGG